rnacentral:rRNA from 1 species
UACGGGGGGGGCAAGCGUUGUUCGGAAUUACUGGGCGUAAAGGGCUCGUAGGCGGCCAACUAAGUCAGACGUGAAAUCCCUCGGCUUAACCGGGGAACUGCGUCUGAUACUGGAUGGCUUGAGUUUGGGAGAGGGAUGCGGAAUUCCAGGUGUAGCGGUGAAAUGCGUAGAUAUCUGGAGGAACACCGGUGGCGAAGGCGGCAUCCUGGACAGUGACUGACGCUGAGACGCGAAAGCGUGGGGAGCAAACAGG